rnacentral:rRNA from 1 species
UGGGGGAUAUUGCACAAUGGGCGAAAGCCUGAUGCAGCGACGCCGCGUGGGGGAUGAAGGCCUUCGGGUUGUAAACUUCUUUUGCUCUGAACAAGGCAUGCCUUUGGGGUGUGUUGAGUGUAGGGGUUGAUUAGCGCCGGCUAACUACGUGCCAGCAGCCGCGGUAAUACGUAGGGCGCGAGCGUUGUCCGGAAUUAUUGGGCGUAAAGGGCUUGUAGGUGGCUGGUUGCGUCUGUCGUGAAAGCUCAUGGCUUAACUGUGGGUUUGCGGUGGGUACGGGCUGGCUUGAGUGCCGUAGGGGAGGCUGGAAUUCCUGGUGUAGCGGUGGAAUGCGCAGAUAUCAGGAAGAAUACCGGUGGCGAAGGCGGGUCUCUGGGCUGUUACUGACGCUGAGGAGCGAAAGCGUGGGGAGCAAACAGG